rnacentral:rRNA from 1 species
UACGUAGGGGGCGAGCGUUGCCCGGAAUUACUGGGCGUAAAGGGAACGUAGGUGGCUCUUAAAGUCAGGUGUGAAAAUAACGAAGCUUAACAGGUUAAUGCGCUUGAAACUAAAGGGCUUGAGGGCAAUAGAGGGAGAUGGAAUUACCUGUGUAGGGGUGAAAUCCGCAGAUAUAGGUAAGAAGGCCGGUGGGGAAGCCGAUCUCCUGGGUUGACUCUGACACUGAGGUUCGAAAGCUAGGGGAGCAAACCGGAUUAGAUACCCGGGUAGUCCUAGCCGUAAACGAUGCUCACUGGGUGUGGGUCGAAAAGAUCUGUGCUGAAGCUAACGCGAUAAGUGAGCCGCCUGGGGAGUACGUCCGCAAGGAUGAA